rnacentral:tmRNA from 1 species
GGGGGCGACAUGGCUUCGACGUGGGUAGAGAAGCUCAAGGAGCAUGCCGGGGAGAGUGUCCUCGAUAAAAAUACUCAACCUUGUAAUUGGCAACGAUUACGCACUUGCAGCUUAAUUAGAAGCAGCACGUCUGCCUAGAUUGUGGUCGCGGAUUUAGGUUAGACGUCAUUUAGUGACCUCGAUUGCAGUGGUUAUCAUCAGCGCUGCAGUUUAAAUAAAGCUGGUGGUAGGUCUUAACUGAUUUUGUUUAUGGAAGCUUUUAAGGCAACUAAAACAUAAACUAAGCACGUAGCCCGCCUUGUAG